rnacentral:rRNA from 1 species
UGGAUCUUAGUGGCGAACGGGUGAGUAACGCGUAGGCAAUCUGCCUUCUAGAUGGGGACAACAUCCCGAAAGGGGUGCUAAUACCGAAUGUUGUAGUUGGUUCGCAUGGACUAGCUACUAAAGGUGGCCUCUGAAUAUGCUACCGCUAGAAGAUGAGCCUGCGUCUGAUUAGCUAGUUGGAGGGGUAACGGCCCACCAAGGCUUCGAUCAGUAGCCGGUCUGAGAGGAUGAACGGCCACACUGGGACUGAGACACGGCCCAGACUCCUACGGGAGGCAGCAGUGGGGAAUCUUCCGCAAUGGACGAAAGUCUGACGGAGCAACGCCGCGUGAGUGAAGAAGGUUUUCGGAUCGUAAAGCUCUUUCGUUAGGGACGAACGUGCUCUUUGUGAAUAAUGAAGAGUAAUGACGGUACCUAAAUAAGAAGCCACGGCUAACUACGUGCCAGCAGCCGCGGUAAUACGUAGGUGGCAAGCGUUGUCCGGAAUUAUUGGGCGUAAAGCGCGCGC